UCGUUUUACAGGACAGCGAAGAAGUUCUUCGUUCGACGAUUCGCAACGUGAGUGAAGACACUGCACUGCGGUUCCGUAUAUAUUACUUCUCCAGAGGACGCUUCUAGAAUGUUCUUCCCACCCGUGCCCCUUAGAGGAGCCAAUCAGAUGCCGGUAUUUACCGAAUUCAGAUGGCCAUUGGUAAUAUGCUGUGAACUACGUAUGUCAAAACUGAAAUUCUCUGUGAUUAUCGACUGGAUAAGAUAUAAUUUAGAUCUUGUAAAUAUUCAGAUUUGCCUUUCUUUUAUUGCAACCAAAAUUAAUUUAUAAUUCCAUUAACGUAUGCUGCAAGGAUUAACAAUUUUGAGACAUCAUUUUUUAGAAUGACUUCCGCUUGGAAUGGCAGACGACACGGAAGUAGAAAACACGAGAAAUGUGGAGAAACAUCUAGUAGAUAUUAACAAUAAAUUUGGAUGUACAAGUAUGAAUAUAUUGUAAUAUAAAGAAUGAAAUUAAUGCUUUGAAAGAAAUGUUGAACGUAUUUGCAACGCAAUAAUCCUAGACGUUAAACAUGAUUUGUACAUAUACGUAUGUAGUUACAUUUACAUCGGAUUAUAAUCGAUGUAGUCAAGGACAUUUCAUUUCGUUGACAUCUAUAACCUUAUAGCUACCUUAUAGAAUUUUCUAUGCAGCAGUUUCGGCACGUGUACAUUUAUUUCGUGAAGGGAUAAAAGGUAUUAAAAUAAUACUAGUGGUUUAAUGUAUAUGUGAAAUACAGUGUGUGAAAUAUAUGUUUCUUUAUCUCGAAUCGAUAAGAUUCAACCAUGAACUUGAAUUCAUUAGCCGAAGUUUAAUGUUACUAUAGUAUGAAACGCAUAAGAUUUAAAUAUAUACAGUUUUUCGCAUACGUUACUCGUUUAAUGUUACACUAUAUUAGAAUAAAUUAUCCCAGCACCUAUGGAAUAUUAAUAAGCGAAUUAAUCGUUCCAGUAAAAGUUUGUCAAUUUCUUGAAAGCUGCCUUACGUCACGUAUAGUGACGCAUAUGUAUAUUCCGUGGACGCAUAUACAUAGUGACGUACGAAUCCUAUAUGUGUGCAUGCACAGUUUUCGAGGAGCUUCAAAAUAUCUCAAAUUUUUCGUGAUAUCAUCUCUCAGAAAUAAUUACUUCGAUACUGUAAUUAAUUAUAUAUUUACUUCUAUUCAAUUAUAAAUCUGAAAAUAUUAUAUUCUACUGUAAAAAAUUAUGUUUCAUGUACACGCGCACAUAUAAAUUUUAAAAACAAAUUCCAACACAUUUGUACAGUUACAAAUCACUACAUAUGUUUGUUACGUUCAUUUUUAACAAAGAGUUACAAAUUGGCGUACUCCUUUAAUAACAAAAUAAAUUGUUGAUAAUUAAAAAAUUUCAUUCUCAAAAUAUCAUAGUAACAAACAUUUACUAUUUUUUUGCAAGUUUGUUACAACAGCGCUAAUGGAAAAAUUCCACAGGAAACAAUUCGUAGGUUUGACAGGAUAAUAAUUUUCAAUGCUCCUUUGUUCACUGAUGCCAUCGAAUUAUACGAGUAAUGUUAUUAGAAAGAAAAUGUAGUCAAUGCAGCAAAAGACGGUGCAGAAAAUCGAUGACGAUAAGCGUUGCAGUAAAGUUUGCUAGCUCUACAGAAAUUUCCAGUGCGUUUCAGCAUAGUCCAGACACGUCUGUAUACACAUGCCUACUUGCAUUCUGUUCAAUACGUGACUGUGUUCGUGCAUGUGUUCUUUGCUCGACAAUAAGUUAUUCAUUAGUGUCUCUGUUUUUACAAUACUCCCAUCGUAAAUCUUGGCUAUGUGUAAAUUAUGUCCGUUACAAGAAAAAAAAUGGGUUUUCAUACACGUGUCACCAGUUCCUUUAAUUUAGGUUAUAAGAAUGCGAAUUUAUUAAUGUAUAAAUCUCCCCACUCGAGUAAUCACAUUCGUGAAUAAUUCUGCGAAACAAUUGCUGGAAACAGUUAUUUCCGUUCAAUUAAGAGCCACGAGCAACUACGAAGAUACAUAUUUAAAGUUAACUCUUGCUUCUGCUUUGACUGUACCUGCACUUCCUCUGUCAAAUAAAAGGCAUAAUUUUUUAAAUUAAAAUAAUUUCUACUUUUUUAAGGAUUUUAUAUUUUUAUUGUUCACUUUAAAAUAAUUCCCAAUUUUGUAAGGAUUUUAUGUUUUUAUUUUUUAUUCGAAAUAAUUCGCGCAGAAUUGUUUUUUCUUAUACUAAAUUAUUAUGUCCAGAAUUUAUUGGAUAUAACGAAGCAGUCGGCCUUUUUGUGAGUGUUAUAAAUCAGUGGAAAAAUACGAGGAAUUGCCAUGUCACGAUGUAAUUACAAGAUCUUGUUAAAUGAUUCGUGUGACUUGCCAGUGUCAUAAAAUUGCAGAUAUCAUUUCUUACGGAGCUAUAUAAAAAUAUCUUAAAUAAAACAUUCUCUGUUACAUGAAAGUGUGACGGAAUAUAUUCAAAUAUUUAUAAAUUAAUUUUUAAAAAUCUAACACUCUCGAGAAUUGAAUAUCUCCAUCCAGGUUUCUACUAACCUAAAAAUGCAAUGAUAUCCUCGUAUCAAAGUCAGUAGUCUCUUUUUUUAAUAUUUUGCAAACUAAAACUGAUUGAACGUUGAAAAAAAUAAUAUAAAUACAGUAAUCAAUAGAAACUCCUAUGAAAUUUUAAACAAUUUUAUUUAAUCUUUAAUUUAUUUUUUAAAUAUAAU